GUCCAGGUUGGCGAGCAAAUGAUUUUAUUAGAAGCCACUUACAGAGGCAGGCAGCCAAAUGGGAGGCUGCACUACCAGAGUUGUCACCCACCCCCUUCCAAGCUUCUGCUUAUGUAGGGCUCUCAGUUAUGCAGGAAAGACAAGAACCAGAACCCUUGUACAUACUCUGUUCCCAUCCUUGUCGAGAACUCUGCUGUUCUCAGCAGAGUGAUGCGUGGUCUUCUGCUGCAGUCUGGCACAGCCUGUGCACCCGGUGAGGCCCCCUCAGGACAGCUGUUUGAGUGGUGGCCCCCUGCCAAAUGAUGUUACCUUGGCUAGAGCUCAGAGUUACAGGAUGUGAUCCCAGGAGGUCCUGCCCAGGAGGAGAUGGGGACCUCAGUGUGGCCCAGGCAGGUACUGUGACCUUUGUGUCUAGAUGCUCCCCCACUGAAGCCGCUAUCACAGGUGGGGCUUUUGUAAAUGGAUUGGAUUUUGGGGCUAUAAGUGACUUGUUAGGAGGUGGAGUCUAGGUAGUUGGAAGAGGGGGGCUCCGUGUGGGCCUGACCCAGAAGGGUGUGUCUCCCUUUCUGGCUCUUCCCUUGACUGCUUCCUGGGUGCUGUGAGAUAGAUGAGCAGUUUUUCUCCACUAUGCCCCUGUGCCAUGCUGUCCUGCCUUCAAGCCAUCAGACUCCAUAGUCCUCUGAAACCUCAACUAAGCCAAAUUAAACCUCCUUUAAGUUGUGGGUGUUGAGUGUUUUUGUCCCAGCAACAAAGAAGGUGACAGAACAAAGACAUUUCAGGAUGUGUCGGAGGCACAGGCUGAUUUACUGAGCAGAGUUAGGGAAAAUAGGGAGAGGACUGCAGCCUAAGGAAGAGAAGGGGACACAGCUCUGGUGAGAUGACACUACCCUGGCAACAAAUGGAAGGAACUGCUUUUAAGUUGGGAUAGGCUAAGGUCUGGUUCACCAUUACUUCAGUUCUGGUUUUGCUGGAUGACUCCGAAGUCUUAAUUCUUGAUGGGCGAUUCCAUCUCCUUGAGAUGACCGUUUCUGCAUGCGGCAGCCUUAGUUUUUGGGAGGCUCCUGCUGGAACCCAAGGUGAACUUACUUAGGUUUAGGGCAAUGACUAGAGACAUGUGGGUGGUGCUCACUGGUAAUUUAAUGUUCCUGUAAAUCUCUUAGUGUCAGUCUUGAAGGGGGAUGAACAUAAGUCUUGUAAAUUAAGGGUUGAUCAACCUCCCGUUGCGUUUUUAGACAUCCUCCCUAAGUGAUUUAACAUGCCUGUAUCUUGAGCAGGGCUGUGAUCAAGUUUUAAGGUAAUAAAGGAAACAUAUAAAGUGAAGGUCAAACUUUGUUCUGGUUUUAGUUAUGUAUUGGGCAUCUGUAGGCCCAAAUGAAGUCACUAUUUUUAGCAAAGUGUUAGUCCCUGGCUGCCUCAGAAGAAAACACAAAUCAAGCCUGUAAUGAGUAACGGUACGGGCUCCGGAGCUCACUUCCCUUCGCCCCCACGGUGGUCUGUCUCAGGAGUAGUCGUCUCCCUACAGACACACUGAGCUCCUUCCAGAGCUUCCGGGUGAUCGGCAGCUUCACAGGUACACACAUUUUAGCCGUUCACUUCCAAUUUAUGGCCCUCCGCGUGAGUAUCUUCAGGGGGAAUUUGGAGGUGAGCUGGUUUUCCGGCCUCCGAUGGGCAGGGAUGGACGGGCCUCGCAGGGGCACGCCGCUGGGUGUGACGAGCGCUAGCGCCCGGCUUCCCGAGGAACAGCUGGUGCUGGAAGGCGACCGGUAAGGUCCCACUGCUCCCGGCGACAGCGUCCCUGGGGGCGGUCGGCGGCCGGCGGCCGGCGGAAAGCGCGCCCGAGCGAACCUGGUCGAAGUGUCAGGCGAGCGGGAGGCCUGCGCGCGCCCUGACUUCAAACUCAGCUCGAGCUGUCACCGCCAAUCGGCGGCCCCCGCUCGCACCGCCCUUCGCGCUGCCCAAUCGGAGGCCCACACUGAGGCCCCGCUCCACAGCCCUGCCCUCAACCCCUGCCGCGAACGGACG
rnacentral:lncRNA from 1 species